GUAGGGUGCAAGCGUUAAUCGGAAUUACUGGGCGUAAAGCGUGCGCAGGCGGUCCGCUAAGACAGAUGUGAAAUCCCCGGGCUUAACCUGGGAACUGCAUUUGUGACUGGCGGGCUAGAGUAUGGCAGAGGGGGGUAGAAUUCCACGUGUAGCAGUGAAAUGCGUAGAGAUGUGGAGGAAUACCGAUGGCGAAGGCAGCCCCCUGGGCCAAUACUGACGCUCAUGCACGAAAGCGUGGGGGAGCAAACAGGAUUAGAUACCCUGGUAGUCCACGCCCUAAACGAUGUCAACUAGUUGUCGGGUCUUCAUUGACUUGGUAACGUAGCUAACGCGUGAAGUUGACCGCCUGGGGAGUACGGUCGCAAGAUUA
rnacentral:rRNA from 1 species